UUUAAAAAAAAAGGGGAGAACCGAAUUAUUAUGAGAGAAAAACAUUUCACUUUAAUAAAGAUAGAGAGAUAGGCGUGAUUUGUGAUAGAAAAUAGAGAGGGACCGAGAUUGAGGGAGAGGGAUCGAGAUGAUGAAUUUUGUUGGGCCAAUCCUUGGCUAAAUCUUAUUUUUAUUGUUUUGGGCUUUCUUUUGGGCUCCCAUUAUUUAUUUAAUAGGCUUCAAUUUUAUAUAAAUGGGCUUCUAUUAUUGGUUAAUAAUGGGUUUCGAAUUUUAUAUUACUUGGACUCCUACGAUUUAAUUGAUUAAGUCCAAUGAAAUUUAUUUAUUUAACCC
rnacentral:lncRNA from 1 species